rnacentral:rRNA from 1 species
GCAGGCGGUCCUUUAAGUCUGAUGUGAAAGCCCACGGCUCAACCGUGGAGGGUCAUUGGAAACUGGGGGACUUGAGUGCAGAAGAGGAAAGCGGAAUUCCACGUGUAGCGGUGAAAUGCGUAGAGAUGUGGAGGAACACCAGUGGCGAAGGCGGCUUUCUGGUCUGUAACUGACGCUGAGGCGCGAAAGCGUGGGGAGCAAACAGGAUUAGAUACCCUGGUAGUCCACGCCGUAAACGAUGAGUGCUAAGUGUUAGAGGGUUUCCGCCCUUUAGUGCUGCAGCUAACGCAUUAAGCACUCCGCCUGGGGAGUACGGCCGCAAGGCUG